rnacentral:tmRNA from 1 species
GGGUUUGUACAGGUUUCGACGGGGGUUUUGCAGCUAUCGUAGCCGUUUGUGGUGGGUUCACACAUUAAACACCCAAAACUUAAAUAUAAACGCAGAAGAUAAUUUAGCGUACGCUGCCUAGUGGCAGCUGUCAGCCCCGGGUUUCCCGUAGCCCUGGUCACUGGCAUCAAAUGAUGCGGGGAACUCUAAUCGAGACUGCUUCCCUCUAUUAGAAGAUAAAAGAAGCUACCGAUCGGACAUCCUGUCACCGGGAGUUCCGUGAGGGAAGAUAAAACAGUGACUGUAACGGGAGAAGCGAUAGGGAAUAGGCUUUCGGACAGGGGUUCGAUUCCCCUCAGAUCCAUUU